AUAAAGGAUCUUAUAGGAUCCACAUCCGUCAAACCAUUAAAAUUAUU
rfam:Cephalotus follicularis DNA, scaffold: scaffold446, isolate: St1.